UUACGGCCAUAUAACGUUGAACCACCGGCUCUCGUACGAUUACCGAAGUUAAGCAACGUCGAGCCUGGUCAUUAUCUAGAUGAGUGACUGCUUGGUAAUACCAGGUGCUGUAA